GACAGAGGGUGCAAACGUUGCUCGGAAUUACUGGGCGUAAAGCGCGUGUAGGCGGGUUUCCAAGUCAGAUGUGAAAUCCCCGGGCUUAACCUGGGAACUGCGUUUGAAACUGGAAGGCUUGAGUGUGGCAGAGGGGGGUGGAAUUCCACGUGUAGCAGUGAAAUGCGUAGAUAUGUGGAGGAACACCGAUGGCGAAGGCAGCCCCCUGGGCUAACACUGACGCUCAUGCACGAAAGCGUGGGGAGCAAACAGG
rnacentral:rRNA from 1 species